rnacentral:rRNA from 1 species
GUACGGAACGAAAAGACUCUGGUUAAUACCUGGGGUCCAUGACGGUACCGUAAGAAUAAGCACCGGCUAACUACGUGCCAGCAGCCGCGGUAAUACGUAGGGUGCAAGCGUUAAUCGGAAUUACUGGGCGUAAAGCGUGCGCAGGCGGUUAUAUAAGACAGAUGUGAAAUCCCCGGGCUCAACCUGGGAACUGCAUUUGUGACUGUAUAGCUAGAGUACGGCAGAGGGGGAUGGAAUUCCGCGUGUAGCAGUGAAAUGCGUAGAUAUGCGGAGGAANCNANCCGAUGGCGAAGGCAAUCCCCUGGGCCUGUACUGACGCUCAUGCACGAAAGCGUGGGGAGCAAACAGGAUUACGAUACCCUGGUAGUCCACGCCCUAAACGAUGUCAACUGGUUGUUGGGUCUUCACUGACUCAGUAACGAAGCUAACGCGUGAAGUUGACCGCCUGGGGAGUACGGCCGCAAGNGUCUAAACUCAAAGGAAUUGACGGGGACCCGCACAAGCGGUGGAUGAUGUGGUUUAAUUCGAUGCAACGCGAAAAACCUUACCCACCUUUGACAUGUACGGAAUCCUUUAGAGAUAGAGGAGUGCUCGAAAGAGAGCCGUAACACAGGUGCUGCAUGGCUGUCGUCAGCUCGUGUCGUGAGAUGUUGGGUUAAGUCCCGCAACGAGCGCAACCCUUGCCAUUAGUUGCUACGAAAGGGCACUCUAAUGGGACUGCCGGAGACAAACCGGAGGAAGGUGGGGAUGACGUCAAGUCCUCAUGGCCCUUAUAGGUGGGGCUACACACGUCAUACAAUGGCUGGUACAGAGGGUUGCCAACCCGCGAGGGGGAGCUAGUCCCAUAAAGCCAGUCGUAGUCCGGAUCGCAGUCUGCAACUCGACUGCGUGAAGUCAGAAUCGCUAGUAAUCGCGGAUCAGAAUGUCGCGGUGAAUACGUUCCCGGGUCUUGUA